rnacentral:rRNA from 1 species
UACGUAGGGCGCAAGCGUUAUCCGGAAUUACUGGGCGUAAAGGGCUCGUAGGCGGCCAACUAAGUCAUACGUGAAAAUCCCUCAGCUUAACUGGGGGAACUGCUGUGAUACUGGAUGGCUUGGAUUUGGGAGAGGGAUGCGGAAUUCCAGGUGUAGCGGUGAAAUGCGUAGAUAUCUGGAGGAACACCGGUGGCGAAGGCGGCAUCCUGGACCAAUAUUGACGCUGAGGAGCGAAAAGCCAGGGGGAGCAAACGGG